AUUGAACGCUGGCGGCAGGCCUAACACAUGCAAGUCGAGCGGAGAUGAGGUGCUUGCACCUUAUCUUAGCGGCGGACGGGUGAGUAAUGCUUAGGAAUCUGCCUAUUAGUGGGGGACAACAUUCCGAAAGGAAUGCUAAUACCGCAUACGCCCUACGGGGGAAAGCAGGGGAUCUUCGGACCUUGCGCUAAUAGAUGAGCCUAAGUCGGAUUAGCUAGUUGGUGGGGUAAAGGCCUACCAAGGCGACGAUCUGUAGCGGGUCUGAGAGGAUGAUCCGCCACACUGGGACUGAGACACGGCCCAGACUCCUACGGGAGGCAGCAGUGGGGAAUAUUGGACAAUGGGCGGAAGCCUGAUCCAGCCAUGCCGCGUGUGUGAAGAAGGCCUUUUGGUUGUAAAGCACUUUAAGCGAGGAGGAGGCUACCUGGAUUAAUACUCUAGGAUAGUGGACGUUACUCGCAGAAUAAGCACCGGCUAACUCUGUGCCAGCCGCCGCCUAAGAC
rnacentral:rRNA from 1 species